GACGAACGCUGGCGGCGUGCUUAACACAUGCAAGUCGAACGGAAAGGCCCCUUUGGGGGUACUCUAGUGGUGAACGGGUGAGUAACACGUGCGUAACCUGCCCUUGACUUCGGGAUAACUUCAGGAAACUGGGGCUAAUACCGGUUAGGAAUCCUUGCUUCAUGGUGGGGGUUGGAAAGCUUCGGCGGUUUUGGAUGGACUGGCUGCUUAUCAGCUUGUUGGGGGGGUGGUGGAUUACCAAGGCUGUGACGGGUAGCCGGCCUGAGUGAGCGACCGGCCACACUGGGACUGAGGUAAGGCACAGACUCGUAAGGGAGGCAAAAGUGGGGAAGAUUGCACAAUGGGCGGAAGGCUGGUGCAGCAAGGCCGCGUGUGGGAAAACGGCGUUCGGGGUGAAGAACACUUUCAGCAGGGGAGAAGCUUGUGGUGACGGUACCUGCAGAAGAAGCAACGGCUAACUACGUG
rnacentral:rRNA from 1 species